CAUGGCUCAGGACGAACGCUGGCGGCGUGCCUAAUACAUGCAACGUCGAGCGGAAGAAGGGAGCUUGCUCCCGGAAGUCAGCGGCGGACGGGUGAGUAACACGUAGGUAACCUGCCCCUUAGACUGGGAUAACUCCGGGAAACCGGAGCUAAUACGGGAUAAUAAAGAGAAUCACCUGAUUCUCUUUUGAAAGACGGUUUCGGCUGUCACUAAGGGAUGGGCCUGCGGCGCAUUAGCUAGUUGGUAAGGUAACGGCUUACCAAGGCGACGAUGCGUAGCCGACCUGAGAGGGUGAUCGGCCACACUGGGACUGAGACACGGCCCAGACUCCUACGGGAGGCAGCAGUAGGGAAUCUUCCGCAAUGGACGAAAGUCUGACGGAGCAACGCCGCGUGAGUGAGGAAGGCCUUCGGGUCGUAAAGCUCUGUUGUGAGGGAAGAACAAGUACCGGCGUAACUACCGGUACCUUGACGGUACCUCACCAGAAAGCCACGGCUAACUACGUGCCAGCAGCCGCGGUAAUACGUU
rnacentral:rRNA from 2 species